rnacentral:rRNA from 1 species
UACGAAGGGUGCAAGCGUUAAUCGGAAUUACUGGGCGUAAAGCGUGCGUAGGUGGUCUUUUAAGUCCGUUGUGAAAGCCCUGGGCUCAACCUGGGAAUGGCAGUGGAUACUGGAAGGCUGGAGUACGGUAGAGGAGGGUGGAAUUCCCGGUGGAGCGGUGAAAUGCGUAGAUAUCGCUUGGAACGCCAACGGUGAAAACAGGUUGCUGGGGGUGUGCUGACGCUGAGACACGAAAGCCAGGGGAGCGAACGGG